CUAAAGUAUGCCAAAUAAACUUAAAAAAGCAGUGAAUCAUUUCAAUAGAUGGAAUGAUUCACUG
rnacentral:sRNA from 1 species